rnacentral:RNase_P_RNA from 2 species
UGGGCCGGCCAGACGGUCGCGUCGAGUGCACGCCCCUCCGGGGGAACGGCCUCGCCGAGGAACGUCCGGGCUCCGUAGAGCAGGGCGGUGGGUAACACCCACCCGCAGCAAUGCGCGAGAAAGUGCAACAGAGAGCAGACCGCCUCCGGCUUCGGCCGGCGGUAAGGGUGAAACGGUGGUGUAAGAGACCACCAGGGGCCCGAGUGAUCGGGCUCGCUGGGUAAACCUCGCCCGGAGCAAGGUCAGACAGGCACCGUUGACGCUGCUCGCCGAGGUGCCGGGUAGACCGCUAGAGGGCUGCGGCAACGUCGUCCCGAGAGAGAUGGCCGUCGAACGGGAGUGAUCCCGGGAACAGAACCCGGCGUAUCGGCCGACCCACUUG